AGGAUUUUAAAUCUUCUGUCCUUCUGGUGAAAGAGGCAUUUUUUCAGAAUGGACUUCGUCCUUAACAAAUCAAAGGGGAUUGAAGAUGAGCUCAUUAUCAAACUUAAAUCUGCUAUAAUAGAAGUUGCUGUAUGUGCCCUUAACAAAUUGAAGGUUGUAUGAACUUCAAUUGUCAAGGCAAAUUUCCAUUGAAAGUUUGCAUAAAGAUCUUGCAGAGACUCUCAAAAACUUCAGAAGUAUUGAUGACGAGGUUUGUGUUGUUUUUUCAGAACAAUGGUGGCUGUUUCAGGAAAGCAACCCUUGCAUCCACAGAGCUAGAAGCUUUGGGGUACUCUCCAGAUGAAUCCAUUCUUCAAAAGUUCUGGAAACUUUGUUAACGCCAACUACAUAUUCCAGGUUGUAUGAACUUCAAUUGUCAAGGCAAAUUUCCAUUGAAAGUUUGCAUAAAGAUCUUGCAGAGACUCUCAAAAACUUCAGAAGUAUUGAUGACGAGGUUUGUGUUGUUUUUUCAGAACAAUGGUGGCUGUUUCAGGAAAGCAACCCU